rnacentral:rRNA from 1 species
AACGAACGCUGGCGGCAGGCCUAACACAUGCAAGUCGAGCGCACCUUCGGGUGAGCGGCGGACGGGUUAGUAACGCGUGGGAACAUACCCUUUGGUACGGAAUAGCCUCUGGAAACGGAGAGUAAUACCGUAUGAGCCCUUCGGGGGAAAGAUUUAUCGCCAAAGGAUUGGCCCGCGUUAGAUUAGAUAGUUGGUGGGGUAAUGGCCUACCAAGUCUACGAUCUAUAGCUGGUUUUAGAGGAUGAUCAGCAACACUGGGACUGAGACACGGCCCAGACUCCUACGGGAGGCAGCAGUGGGGAAUCUUAGACAAUGGGCGCAAGCCUGAUCUAGCCAUGCCGCGUGUGUGAUGAAGGUCUUAGGAUCGUAAAGCACUUUCGCCAGGGAUGAUAAUGACAGUACCUGGUAAAGAAACCCCGGCUAACUCCGUGCCAGCAGCCGCGGUAAU